rnacentral:tRNA from 1 species
GUCUAGGGAUGGGAAUCGAACCCACAGUGUUCCGCUUACCGGGCAGAUGCCAUGUCCACUAGGCUACCCUGGA